rnacentral:sRNA from 1 species
CCAGCACCAAGACAUGCUUUUGAGAUAUUCAGAAGGUUCUACUUAGCCAAACACAGUGGUCGACAGCUCACACUCCAGCAUCAUAUGGGUUCUGCAGAUCUCAAUGCCACAUUUUAUGGACCAGUUAAAAAGGAAGAUGGAUCUGAAGUUGGUGUUGGAGGUGCACAAGUAACUGGCUCUAAUACACGGAAGCACAUAUUGCAAGUUUCCACUUUCCAGAUGACCAUAUUAAUGCUCUUUAAUAAUAGAGAAAAAUACACGUUUGAGGUAUGGAUUGUGGUUAUAUACAUUUUAACUGUGUUGUUUCUAACUCUCACUUGUUACUUGAGUCUUUCUUAUUUGAGUAACCUUUAGAGAGUCUCUUUGGGUACUUUUAGAGAAAACUGUAUAAAAUGGAUCAUGGAACUGUAUGAACAUCAUACAUGUAUUGAGUUAUGUCUUAUUAUUUUUAAAUUAACUUUAUAGAAGUACUUUUAUAUAAAACAUACCUUAUAUAAGUAGACAAUUUGAUGAGUUUUAAAUGAGUGCAUCUUUGUAACUACCAUCACAAGAAUAUUGCCCGAAAAUACAGAGCAUUACCUCCAAAAUUGCGUUGUACCCCUUGCCAGUCUAUUCCCUCCUACCACCUCCAGCCCCAGGCAGCCAGUGACCUGCUUUAUAUCACUAUAAAUUAGUUUUGUUUUUUUUAGACUUUCAUGUAAAUGGAAUCAUACAUGUUGUCUGUAUGCUUUAAUCUUUUGUCAGUUCACCUGUUGAUGGGCAUUUGGGUUGAUACCGGAUUUAGGCUAAGUAGAGCUAUAUGUUUAACAUUUUAAGAAACUGCCGAACUGUGUCCCAAAACAACUAUACCAUUUUCCAUAUUUGUCAGCAGUGCAAGACGGUCCAGUUGCUCUACAUCAUCUGCAGUCUUUAGAUUUUGAGCUGCUUUAGUUGGUGUGUAAUAGUGUCUCAUUUUGGAUUUAAUUUUCUUUUUUUUUUGAUGAUGAUGUUGAGCAUCUUUUAUGUGUUAAUAUGCCACUGAUAUAUCUUGUUUGGUGAAGUGUUUGUAUCUUUUUUGAGUUGUUUUCUUACUACAUUGUAAAAGUUCUUUAUAAAUUCUGG